CCUACGGGCGGCUGCAGUGGGGAAUAUUGCACAAUGGGCGCAAGCCUGAUGCAGCCAUGCCGCGUGUGUGAAGAAGGCCUUCGGGUUGUAAAGCACUUUCAGCGGGGAGGAAGGCGUUAAGGUUAAUAACCUUGUCGAUUGACGUUACCCGCAGAAGAAGCACCGGCUAACUCCGUGCCAGCAGCCGCGGUAAUACGGAGGGUGCAAGCGUUAAUCGGAAUUACUGGGCGUAAAGCGCACGCAGGCGGUCUGUCAAGUCGGAUGUGAAAUCCCCGGGCUCAACCUGGGAACUGCAUUCGAAACUGGCAGGCUAGAGGCUUGUAGAGGGGGGUAGAAUUCCAGGUGUAGCGGUGAAAUGCGUCGAGAUCUGGAGGAAUACCGGUGGCGAAGGCGGCCCCCUGGACAAAGACUGACGCUCAGGUGCGAAAGCGUGGGGAGCAAACAGGAUUAGAUACCCCAGUAGUC
rnacentral:rRNA from 1 species